UCCAAAUUGGUGUAGGGGUUAACAUUGCCGCCUCUCAGAUUUGCAUGCUUCGCGGCAGCCCGGGGUUCGAUUCCCCGAUUUGGAA